rnacentral:lncRNA from 10 species
UCAAGUUGUGGGCAGGGUGGGUUCGUUCUGAGGCCUCUCUCCUGGGUGUGCAGAAAGCGUGUCUGUGUCCUAAUCACCUCUUCUUCUAGGGACACUAAGUCACGUUGGAUGAGGGCUCACCCAAAUGGUCUCAUUCUCAUUGAUUUACCUCCUUAAAGAGCUCAUCUCCAAAUAUAGCCACGUGAGGAGGUCUUGGGAGCUGGGACUUUAACGGAUCAAUUUGGGAGGAGACACAGCUUAGUCCAUCCCACAGAAGCUUGCAGAGAGGUCGGCUCUGCCCCCAGAGGGAGUUGGAGGUCUCAGAGCAUCUACCUGCUUCUGCCUUUCACUGCCAGGGAGCAAACCCGGCCAGGCCUCCAGGACCGCACAGCACACACAGUCCUGCAGAGAAGAAGCGCCCAGGCUGCUGUCUGGGGAGGCGGGUGCUCCUGUACCAGUCGCUCUAGUCAUGAACAGCCUCUAAAUGCCGGUCAUCGUUCCCCAUUGAUUAUUUCCAUUUUUUGCCAAUGCAGUUACUUGGAAGGAAUAAACACACCCCUGCACACCGAGGCACAGAAGCCUGGCCUUCCCAGCUCAGAGAGUCCUUGGUGGCAAUUUGAGAUGAAACGGCCGUGAUCGAAGAGAGAAAGUGGAGGCGAGGCUUAGCGUCCCACAGAGCAGAGGCCGCUGGUUCCCCGGGAUGGAGGGGCCAGGAGUGAAGACAGCCAUACCAGGCCUGAAUCGCCGGCUCAGGAGACAGAGGCCAGGGCCCAUAGGAGAGGAAGCUCCCGGAAAGCUGAGAAUUCAAAGAAGGACCGAGGCAGAUUUCUGAAUGUUUCCUUGCUCUGUCUUCUCAUCCACACUUUGUUCUGGGGUUGAGGAGGGUGUGGAGUUGGGAAUCCAACCCAAGGCUCCUGGCCUCUCUGCAGACCCCAGAGUCUGCUCAGGAAGCCACAAAACCAGUGCCCACACCAGCAUGUGCCACUCAGGAGAGGAGAAUUCAGGAGGAACGGAAGGCCUGCUCCCCACGGCUCGGCUCCAGGCCAUCUUCCUUCUUGAUGGGGACACCUCCUGCCUUGGAGAGAGGUGGGAACCAGCAUCUGGGAGACCCAGCUGGUGGGGCAACCAGUGAGGAUGGGGAAGUCAUGUUCAUUUGGCUCAUAGUGACAAGCCGGCCAUGGCAUAUACUCUGCUGCUUGCAACGAUUCCAGAGGCCAGCACGAUUCCUCCCUCCACCCCAGGUUUCGCCACAGAAAUGCCUGAUCUGCCCAAGGCCACCCUGCCAGGGACAGUGGUUACUGAUGUUGCCUGCUCUGCAUCCACCGUAGCACAGGGGGAAGGAUGCCUGCCCAAUCCAUGGCACCCUCUCCUGUGUGCCAGCAUGCACAGGCUUCCUCCAUGCACAGGCCAGGGAUGGCUGGCCAAAUACUGUCACCAGGGGAGGCUGUGGGAACUCCCAGAGGGGAUAGCCUUGGCCUCUGUGUGGUCAGACCAUAAGGGCUAGCCUUGGCCUCUGUGUGGUCAGACCAGAAGGGCUAACCUUGACUUCUGUGUGAUCACAUCAGAAAGGCUAGCCUUGUCCUCUGUGUGAUCAGACCAGAAGGGCCAACCUUGGCCUCUCUGUGGUCAGAUAGAAGGGCUAGCCUUGGCCUCUGUGUGAUCAGACCAGAAGGGCUAGCCUUGACUUCUGCGUGAUCAGAUCAGAAGGGCUAGCCUUGACCUCUGUGUAGUCAGAUAGAAGGGCUAGCCUUGGCCUCUGUGUGAUCAGACCAGAAGGGCUAGCGUUGGCCUCUGUGUGGUCAGACCAGAAGGGACAGCCUUGGCCUCUGUGCAGUUGUCCCAGAAGAGCUAGCCUUAGAGAAUGGGACACCCUCCUCAAAGGUUCACCUACCUAACAGUUGUAAUUUUUAAUUUAAUCAUGUUUCUUGAUGUUUUUGGCUGAAUACUUUGGCUAACUAAAUAUAUUUUGUUCAAUGAUACCUAAUAAAAUGUCCCAUCUG